CAUCAACCUGCAGGCGUACAGAUGGGUCCAUGAGGAGCCCGCAAGAGGUGCGUGUGUGUGUGUGUGUACGCGUUGCAUUGAUGAUUCGCCAGCGAUGAUGCAUGGCGGCGUCUCUCUUAGGGUUAGGGACCGUGGCAUGUUACCGUAACAUGUCCCGGGCUGUAUUGAUCAGGCCAGGCAGAGGAGAGCUAGGGCAUGCAGCAGGACGAUGCAUGGUCUGCCGUGCCGGCCGUCCUUCUUCUCCAUUCGAUCGGUUCCUUCCAGGCGAUGGAUGGGAUGGACGUAUACAUAUCGAUCAUUAUCAGUCACAAGUUCAGAACCAUGAUACGUACAUCCUCUUGCAGGAAAACUAGCAUAUGGUGAUACUGACACGGCAUGCAUGAUGACGGCCGAUCGAGUUCAGAAUCCCUAAUCCGCUGACAUUGCUUGUGCCCUGCUCAUGGCCCGAAGCACUGCAUGAUACGGUUGAAUAAU
rnacentral:lncRNA from 7 species